rnacentral:rRNA from 1 species
CACGUAGGGGGCGAGCGUUGUCCGGAAUUAUUGGGCGUAAAGAGCUCGUAGGCGGUGUGUCGCGUCGGCCGUGAAAACCUGCAGCUUAACUGUGGGCGUGCGGUCGAUACGGGCAUCACUGGAGUUCGGCAGGGGAGACUGGAAUUCCUGGUGUAGCGGUGAAAUGCGCAGAUAUCAGGAGGAACACCGGUGGCGAAGGCGGGUCUCUGGGCCGAUACUGACGCUGAGGAGCGAAAGCGUGGGGAGCGAACAGG